rnacentral:tRNA from 1 species
GCUCCGAUAGUUUAACGGAUAGAACGGCCCCCUCCUAAGGGGCUAGUGGGGGUUCGAUUCCCUCUCGGAGCGCCA